rnacentral:misc_RNA from 1 species
GGGUCGAGGCCGACGUCCUUGAGCAGCUCAGCGUGGAAUCGAAUGCCGGUGUCGUUCUUGAAACACUCGCGGAUCAUCCACCGGAGGGGGAUCCGCGCCAGAGUGUGUGGCGUAUCGUCCUCGACAGAGCCGCCGCCGAUGUCACAAUGACAGCCGGCGAACCAAACCUCCUUCACGUCGGUGUGGUCUUGGCCGUCACGCGCGUUUUCCGCGUCAAAGUCAUGCUCGUGC